rnacentral:rRNA from 1 species
GAUGAACGCUAGCGGCAGGCUUAAUACAUGCAAGUCGUGGGCAGCAUGAGUAGCAAUACUUGAUGGCGACCGGCAAACGGGUGAGGAACACGUACACAACCUUCCUUCAAGCGGGGAAUAGCCCAGAGAAAUUUGGAUUAAUACCCCAUAAUAUAUUUGAUAAGGCAUCUUAUUAAAUAUUAAAGCUUCGGCACUUGAUGAUGGGUGUGCGGCUGAUUAGAUAGUUGGCGGGGUAACGGCCCGCCAAGUCUACGGUCAGUAGCUGAUGUGAGAGCAUGAUCAGCCACACGGGCACUGAGACACGGGCCCGACUUCCUACGGGAGGCAGCAGUAAGGAAUAUUGGACAAUGGACGAAAGUCUGAUCCAGCCAUGCCGCGUGAAGGAUUAA